rfam:Enterococcus aquimarinus strain DSM 17690 Scaffold2, whole genome shotgun sequence.
UAGCGUUGCAAGUUCCCGAGAGGAUUCACUUCAUUGUAAACAAAGUGGAGAUGCCUUGUAACCGAAAAUUAAUCAGGGGGAAUCAAAAUUG